UAAUACGAAGGGGGCUAGCGUUGUUCGGAAUUACUGGGCGUAAAGGGCGCGUAGGCGGUGCGGCAAGUCAGGCGUGAAAGGCCCGGGCUCAACCUGGGAACGGCGCUUGAUACUGCGGCGCUUGAAGGCGGGAGAGGAUGGCGGAAUUCCCAGUGUAGAGGUGAAAUUCGUAGAUAUUGGGAAGAACACCGGUGGCGAAGGCGGCCAUCUGGCCCGCGAUUGACGCUGAGGCGCGAAAGCGUGGGGAGCAAACAGG
rnacentral:rRNA from 1 species